rnacentral:precursor_RNA from 9 species
GUGUAAUUCAACGUGCACCGCACGGGCACUAGGCCUUCACUGUGAUCUGCAGAAUGCCUGUUAUACUGUCUGAGAUCAUUGUGAAAGCUAUUUGCCUUGCUUGUGGAUACACCGUCGACGUU